GGCUUGGAGACCCCACUCAGCGGAGGAAGGCGGCUGACAGCGAGGACACCAGGGCCAGGUCCGUCCUACACAGAAGCCUGGGAACCAGGCAGCAGGCAGCCCCCCCACAGCACCGCGCUUUCCUUUUGUCUGAGACUGUGGCUGAGCUCAGGGCUGUGAAGGUCCCAGCGAGGGUCCCAGCCCAGCUGCCACCCCAAGAGCAACCCUGAGCCUCCCCCGCCCACCCGCCAGGACUCACUGCUGAGGCCGGGCACAGCGCUGGGGGCCAGGCCCCUGAGCUUCUUGAGGGUGUUCACGGCCACAUUCAGGCAGCUCCGGGUCACAGCUGCGGCUGAGAGGCCGGGGGAUGUCUGGGGACCACCCUGGACCCCUAGUCCCCACCCGACCGGCCAGAUAGGAACUCCAGGACCUCACCUUCUCUAUGGCCUCCUGGUUGGAGGUACAGAACUUGAGACACUCCUCGAUGAACAGGGGGAAGGCAAAAGCUGCCAUGGGUGAGGGCCUCCACAAGGCCUCCAGCGGGGAACGCAGACGCGAUGAGGCCGUGCCCAUGGCUGGAGGCAAGAGUGAGGUGCGCUGGGACAGAUCAGCCUGGCUGCAGUAGGGACAGACACGCCAAGGCAAGACAGGAGCAGCAGGGGAAACUGAGGGCAGCGGAACUAAGGUCAUGGGAAACUG
rnacentral:lncRNA from 1 species